rnacentral:rRNA from 1 species
UACGAAGGGUGCAAACGUUGCUCGGAAUUACUGGGCGUAAAGCGCGCGUAGGCGGCUUUUCAAGUCGAUUGUGAAAUCCCCCGGGCUUAACCUGGGAACUGCAGUCGAGACUGUCUAGCUAGAGUAUGGGAGAGGGAAGUGGAAUUUCAGGUGUAGCGGUGAAAUGCGUAGAUAUCUGAAGGAACAUCAGUGGCGAAAGCGACUUCCUGGACCAAUACUGACGCUCAUGUGCGAAAGCGUGGGGAGCAAACAGG